CGUCUUUCUCUUUACAUCUUUAUGUUUAGUCACGUGAUAAUUUUUUAGAUGAUGACAAAUUCUGGCAGGCAUAUAGGAUGAAGAGGAAGUCCUUAAUAAAGAUGUCAUACUGCAGUGAGAUAAUUCAUUUUGAAGGCUUUUGUGAGGUUCACAAGGCAUGGAAGGUCCUUGGAAUUACGUUGUCGUUACGUUGUGAGAAUGAGAAAAAAAUUGUAGGGUAGUUAAAAAUACACAGAAACAGUCUUCAAAGGAGUUGGAAUGGCUACUGUCAUUUAGACAGAAUGAUGUAAGUAGGCUAAUUUUAGCUUUCUCUAGAAGGACUUUGGUGUUCAACAGUUUCUAUCAGCUGGAAAGUAUCGUAAAUUGUGAGCAAUACAUUGUAAGUGAACUGGUGCUGGGAAUUACUGUGACAUUACUAAAUGGUUGAUUUCUUUCUUCUGAAUACUGAAAAAUCACUACAUAUGAAAAAGGAAGUGAUAAAUGUGUGUUAGUUCCCUACAUACUUUUUUGAUACAGGCAGAAAGAAUGGGUGCAGAAUGGAAAGCAGCAUUCAAGAAGUGGGACAUUGCAGCAAACUCUCAGUAUGAAAGAUCUGUAGCUUUCCCAGAUGGUUUGCAGGAUGUGAGAACCUACCCAGCCAGGCACUGUCCAAAUGUUAGACUGACUUAGAGCCCAGAUGGCCAAUAAAUUUACUUCAUCUGUAUAUUGCUCUUUCUAAGAAUUCUGAUGUUGUAUUUUGCUGCUUUUGUAGGCUAACUGCUAACAUUUUUUUUUUCUUGUGUUAUAGGGUCAAAGUAAAGCAGGCUAAGAACAAAAACCUGAGGAAUACUGAAUUGAAUUGCAUAAAAAAUACAACAUUUUGUCUUUGAUCCAAGUGGAAGUACUCUGAGGACUCCUGCUUUAGGAAGCAGCUGAGCUCCGAUAUAAGAUGUGUUGAGUCAACAGCACUGUGAACCUUUGCAGAAAGAGGACUUGUUAUUCCCUUUGUUUCUACACUCAAGACUUGCUUUGCUGCAGGAAGAAAGUUGGAAUAUACCAUCAGGAAUCAUGAAUUGUUUCAGCUGUUGUGGUUUGUUUGCUGUUUGUACCGUAGUCAAAAUGAACAGACUGGUAAAGCCUGGGUGAAGUGCAAUGAAUGGAAUGUUGGACCAAUAAACGACCUGUUGCUAGCUGGCCUGUAUGUGAGGAGGGAAAAGAAAACUAUGGAACUGCAAUAAAAUGACUCCAGCUAAGAAAUUAGCAGGACAGCAUUAUGGGCAGUUGUUCCUGAAGCUAUCUAAAACUGCAUUAAGACUUCACGCUGACCAACUAAUGAAACCAUUUCAAUGGAACUUUGGAUUUUUCAUCAGGCCAUAUUUCCUUCACUUUUGAUAAACUUUGUGAUUCAAAGAAUUGCUGACAAAUUUGGCUGAAGAGCAUAGUGGUACAUUUGAGGAAGAUAUUGCUAAAUCAGAGUAAGCUUAGCAGAGACUCCCAAUGAGGUCUAGUUAGGGUAUUUAGCAAAUAACUUGCAAUAACUUAUUUUUGAUGCCUGAUUUAAUCCCGUGUAUUACAUGCUGUUUGUUGACAAACAACAGAGAAGCAAGCCUGUAAUUUCAAGAGGAAGCCAUCAGAAACAUAAACAUCUACAAGACCAGGAAUCCUGCUAUGAGUUUGCUGCCUGGCCUUGCAACCUUGCAAUAUGUGCUGCAAUCUGCUUAAUUAAGCCUUUAGAUACAAGCAGCAAAUAAAUAAAGCUGGAAUGGUAGGAGCAAAGUAAUACUUAAGUUCACCGGUCUGGUUCCAAAGGUAAUACUGGACCUGCUCACAAGUCAAAGAUACAGUUAAUUUGUAAUAAUGACGAUAGAACAAAUUUUCCAGGAAACUGAAACUUUGCUCUUAAUAGGUUCUGUUCCUGUAAAGAUCUGGUUGUCAUAAAACAUUGGAUAAGAAGCCAGGUACAACUUGGAUCAUGACUGUUAAACUACAUUUCGUAAUCAUCCGCUGUUUGGACAGGCUGGCCUUGGGAGCCUCACCCUUCCACGGGUGUAGGGUAUAAAUUCUGAUGCUCUGCUUCAUUGGCACCUCUUGUGCAAGAUGGGUACAAACAAGAUCCUGCUUUUCCUCUUAAGCGCAGCAAUUCUGGAUGCCACCUCAGAAACAACAACUGAAUACCCAUGGAGAACUGCACAAGCAACAACUGGAUACCCG
ensembl:lncRNA